rnacentral:rRNA from 1 species
UGCCUGCCAGUGACCAUGAGUUCAACGGCCGCGGUAUUCUGACCGCGCGAAGGUAGCGUAAUCACUUGUUUUUUAAAUAAAGACUAGUAUGAAUGGCCCCACGAGGACUUAACUGUCUCCCUUGUCCAAUCAGUGAAACUGAUCUCCUCGUGCAGAAGCGAGGAUUUUCCCAUAAGACGAGAAGACCCUAUGGAGCUUCAAACUAAAUCAACUAUUGUCAUCUGCCCUCCAAGGACCCAAUAAAUAGCUAAAUAUGCUGAUUUAAGUUUUAGGUUGGGGCGACCAUGGAGAAAAAGAAAUCCUCCCUGAUGACCACAAACUAAGAGCUACUACUCUAAGUAUUAAGACACUUAACUCUAAUUGACCCAUUUUAUGAUCAACGAACCAAGUUACCCUAGGGAUAACAGCGCAAUCCAUUUCAAGAGUCCUUAUCGACAAAUGGGUUUACGACCUCGAUGUUGGAUCAGGGCGUCCAAGUGGUGCAACCGCUACUAAUGGUUCGUUUGUUCAACGAUUAAAGCCCUACGUGAUCG